UUUAGUGGCGGACGGGUGAGUAACACGUGAGCAACUUGCCUUCGAGAGGGGAAUAACGGCUGGAAACGGUCGCUAAUACCGCAUAACGUACGGAUGGGACAUCCUGUCUGUACCAAAGAUUUAUCGCUCGAAGAUGGGCUCGCGUCCGAUUAGGUAGUUGGUGAGGUAACGGCCCACCAAGCCGACGAUCGGUAGCCGGACUGAGAGGUUGAACGGCCACAUUGGGACUGAGACACGGCCCAGACUCCUACGGAAGGCAGCAG
rnacentral:rRNA from 1 species